CUAGUUGCCAGGAAGUAGCAUGUAUCAGGUUACCUUUCUUGGCAGUAAGAGGGGCAUGUUGGGAAGAAGAAGACUGUCCUAUGGUUGGAGAAGCCAUAAGUGGCUGCUAUUUCAUGUGGCAGCCAUUUUAAGGUAG
rnacentral:lncRNA from 1 species